rnacentral:rRNA from 1 species
GACGAACGCUGGCGGCGUGCUUAACACAUGCAAGUCGAACGGAAAGGCCCUGCUUGCAGGGUACUCGAGUGGCGAACGGGUGAGUAACACGUGGGUGAUCUGCCCUGCACUUCGGGAUAAGCCUGGGAAACUGGGUCUAAUACCGGAUAGGAGCCAUUUUUAGUGUGAUGGUUGGAAAGUUUUUUCGGUGUAGGAUGAGCUCGCGGCCUAUCAGCUUGUUGGUGGGGUAAUGGCCUACCAAGGCGGCGACGGGUAGCCGGCCUGAGAGGGUGGACGGCCACAUUGGGACUGAGAUACGGCCCAGACUCCUACGGGAGGCAGCGGUGGGGAAUAUUGCACAAUGGGCGCAAGCCUGAUGCAGCGACGCCGCGUGGGGGAGGACGGCCUUCGGGUUGUAAACUCCUUUCGCUAGGGACGAAGCUUUUUGUGACGGUACCUAGAUAAGAAGCACCGGCUAACUACGUG